AGCAGCCGCGGUAAUUCCAGCUCCAAUAGCGUAUGUUAAAGUUGUUGCAGUUAAAAAGCUCGUAGUUGAAUUUCGGGGUCGGUAGAUUGGUCGUGCCUCUGGUAUGCACUGGUCUUACUGGCUCCUCCUUCCUGAUGAACCGUAAUGCCAUUAAUUUGGUGUUGCGGGGAGACUGGACUGUUACUUUGAAAAAAUUAGAGUGUUUAAAGCAGGCUAACGCUUGAAUACAUUAGCAUGGAAUAAUGAAAUAGGACGUUCGAUCUUAUUUUGUUGGUUUCUAAGAUUGACGUAAUGAUUAAUAGGGAUAGUUGGGGGCAUUAGUAUUCAAUUGUCAGAGGUGAAAUUCUUGGAUUUAU
rnacentral:rRNA from 1 species